CACGAACGCUGGCGGCAGGCUUAACACAUGCAAGUCGAGCGCCCCGCAAGGGGAGCGGCAGACGGGUGAGUAACGCGUGGGAAUCUACCCAUCUCUACGGAAUAACGCAUGGAAACGUGUGCUAAUACCGUAUACGUCCUUCGGGAGAAAGAUUUAUCGGAGAUGGAUGAGCCCGCGUUGGAUUAGCUAGUUGGUGGGGUAAAGGCAUACCAAGGGGACGAUCCAUAGCUGGUCUGAGAGGAUGAUCAGUCACACUGGGACUGAGACACGGCCCAGACUCCUACGGGAGGCAGCAGUGGGGAAUAUUGGACAAUGGGCGCAAGCCUGAUCCAGCCAUGCCGCGUGAGUGAUGAAGGCCCUAGGGUUGUAAAGCUCUUUCACCGGUGAAGAUAAUGACGGUAACCGGAGAAGAAGCCCCGGCUAACUUCGUGCCAGCAGCCGCAGUAAAAC
rnacentral:rRNA from 1 species